rnacentral:piRNA from 1 species
UUUAUGGUGAAAUUUAAAGAA